rnacentral:rRNA from 1 species
AUUGAACGCUGGCGGCAGGCUUAACACAUGCAAGUCGAGCGAGCGGCGGACGGGUGAGUAAUGUCUGGGACACUGCCUGAUGGAGGGGGAUCACUACUGGAAACGGUCGCUAAUACCGCAUCCCAUCAGAUGUGCCCAGAUGGGAUUAGCUAGUAGGUGGGGUAAUGGCUCACCUAGGCGACGAUCCCUAGCUGGUCUGAGAGGAUGACCAGCAACACUGGAACUGAGACACGGUCCAGACGCCGAGGGGAGGCAGCAGUGGGGAAUAGGGCACAAUGGGCGGAAGCCUGAUGCAGCAAUGCCGCGUGUGUGAAGAAGGCCUUCGGGUUGUAAAGCACUUUCAGCGAGGAGGCGUUACUCGCAGAAGAAGCACCGGCUAACUCCGUGCCAGCAGCCGCGGUAAUUC